rnacentral:lncRNA from 1 species
GCUUCAGAAACCAAACCAAGCAUACAGAUAUAUGUGUGCAUCUCUGUGUGCUGUGUGCAUACUUUGUGUGUGUGUGACCAUAGCGACCAGACGUAAUGAGGUCAUAAUAUAAUCAGACUAAUCUGAUCAGAGUGGCAAAAUUAAUGCCCCUUUAUUCCGGUCUGUCGGUCUGUCUGUCUCUCUGUUUGUUUGUCAAUUUGUUUGUCUGUCUAUCUGCACCUCUAUACUUCUUUCUAUUUGUCAGUCUGUCUGUUGGUCUGUCGGCCUGUCUGUCUUAGUAUUCGGUUCUGAUGAAGAAUUUAUGCUUCAGAACACAACAGUGACAUCACAUCCUGUCUGCAGAGUACGCUGUAGUUCCUUUGAUCCUGCGGACGGUGGACAUCAAAGACUCCAAGACACUGAACUAACCUAGGCUGAUUCCAUUUGAAAGCACCCGGCCUGUUGAUGACCUGGAAUCGCCAUCCCAUGAUACCAUCAUCACCACGGUUACGUCGGUACAAAGCAGAGGACUGGAAGACAGAUAGGUGUCAGGGAUCUCCGUAUCCCCGGUGACGGUAAACAGAUCCAUCAAGUGUGACUUACACUCAGGUGAAAUUGGAGCUUCACAGAGAAAGGCAGAGCAAAAGCUAUACACAGGCCUACACACAAACACAAGCUACAAACACACACACAAACACACACGCUUGGCAAAGAUGGCAACCAAUGUCGAGGAAUCAAAACCCAUCAAUUUUGUGAGUCAAGAUGAAAUCUGGUGAGUUUACUAUUUUAUUAUGGUGUUGUUAUCUUUUUAAUGCUGUGUGAUGUAUGAAUUGUAAUGGUUAUUUAUAAGAAAUGUAGAUCAUUCAUUUGCAAUGUAAGAUGCCCUUGUUCUAGUUUUAACACACACAUUCAUUGGUUUUAUGCUUUUGUAAUAUUGGUAUUAGUAUCAUUAUAACUUUUGGUAAAUAUUCAAAGACUGCUGAGGAAAAGUAUUGAGGACAGCUGGCUAACAAAUCCACACAAAUACAUUAGAGGCGGAACAACAUUAAACAAAAUAUUCAAAGCUUGUGUUUAAGAGAGGCACUUUAAUUGCAAGAAUAGGGCUUGCUCCUUAAUAUGUAGAUGUCUCUCAGGGAUAGGAG